UGCCUGGCUGUGGCCCUGUGCCUGAGCCUCCGGGGCUGCCCCAGCCUGCAGGCAGGUGGUGGCUGAGCCCCGGGGCCAUGCCUGAGUUCACCUCUCCAGGCUUCUGCCAGGCUUCCAUUCCCGCUCCUCUGAUGGCUGGAUUUGAUGCACUUAACUCGGUUUGAUGUGUGGGUUGUCUUUGUGGGCAUUUCCCCGUUAAAAAAGAACAAAAAAAAUGGUUUGCAAGAAUUGUUUGCAAAGAAACCCGUGCAAACAGUGUUUACAGAAAUGUGCAGGCAUUUUGCAUGUUGGCAAAAGGUGUGUGUUCAUACCUGGGUGGAGGUGUGGGGUGAGCUCAGCUGUGGGGCUGGUGCUGCUCAAAGUAAAAAGGGGGAGGUGGUGGGCAAGAGCUCCCACAUGAGUCUGGGUUUGGCUCAUUCCCCGUGGCUGGAUGAGCACUCAGACCCCUGGGCUUGGUGUUCAACCACCCCAUGGGGAUGCCUGCCCUGCACUCCACUUCCCCACCAGUACCCCCUCAUCUCAGGGAGGGGCAGCUCAUGGAAAUGCCCACCCUUACGCUCCCUGUGCCCUGAGCCUUGGGGUGCCCCUUCCCUUCUUCCCAUCCUCCGGUCACUUAUUUAUUUAUUUAUUUAUUUAUUUAAGUUAUUUAUUGGUAUUUAUUGACAACUGGAAGUCGGGAGUGGAAGAGUGAGAACAAAAGUCAGCCCAGAGACCAACUGUUCCUAUCUUCUAGUCAAAAUAAUACAUGGGAAUAAUACAGAGUUUCAUAACAAAGGUUCAUUUAAAAGCCAUUUGGGGAAAUAUGCCAA